rnacentral:rRNA from 1 species
CCUAUCCCGGGACCUCGCGCCCCGGGCGGCCCGCCGGCGGACAAACCAAAACUCUUGUUAUCUUAGUUGAUUAUCUGAGUGUCUUAUUUAAUAAGUCAAAACUUUCAACAACGGAUCUCUUGGUUCUGGCAUCGAUGAAGAACGCAGCGAAAUGCGAUAAGUAAUGUGAAUUGCAGAAUUCAGUGAAUCAUCGAAUCUUUGAACGCACAUUGCGCCCAUUAGUAUUCUAGUGGGCAUGCCUGUUCGAGCGUCAUUUCAACCCCUAAGCACAGCUUAUUGUUGGGAACCUACGGCUUCGUAGUUCCUCAAAGACAUUGGCGGAGUGGCAGUGGUCCUCUGAGCGUAGUAAUCUUUUAUCUCGCUUCUGUUAGGUGCUGCCCCCCCGGCCGUAAAACCCCCAAUUUUUUCUGGUUGACCUCGGAUCAGGUAGGAAUACCCGCUGAACUUAAGCAUAUCAAUAAGCGGAGGAAACCCACUACCGAAUUUUCCACUGCCAAAAACAAAUAAAGAAAUCUCUUGAUGCCUCGGCGCGGCUGCCCGAGACCUCGACCCCGAGCCGCCACGAGGAAA